rnacentral:tRNA from 1 species
GGAGCUGGAGCUCAGUGGUAGAGCACCUACCUCGCAUGUAUGAGGCACUGGGUUUGAUCCUCAGCACCA